rnacentral:snRNA from 1 species
GGAUGUGAAGGCGAUCUGGCUGCGACAUCUGUCACCCCAUUGAUUGCCAGGGUUGAUUCGGCUGAUCUGGCUGGCUAGGCUGUGUCCCCUUCCUCCCUCACCGCUCCAUGUGCGUCCCUCCCGAAGCUGCGCGCUCGGUCGAGGAGGACGACCAUCCCCGAUAGAGGAGGACCGUUCUUCGGUCAAGGGUAUACAAGUAGCUGCGCUCCCCUGCUAGAACCUCCAAACAAGCUCUCAAGGAAAGUUAUUGUUGAUUCUGGGUUUUUUUGUUUUGUUUUUGU